AGGAGUAGACCCUACAUAAUUACUUCUGAGAGUAAAAUAGACUUUAUGAGAUAUUUUAUUUCUUUUGUACUUCAGUCAUCUUUUAUGGGAUGGAGGGAGUAUUAUGUCAACGAGUGCAGGGCUACAGGGCUACAGGGCUACAGGCCUACGGCUUUAUUAGAUGCCACCAACAUUCAUUUCAUGUCUGCUCUUUGUUCGUCUUCAGACUCUUUAUUCAAAUCUAUCUAAUCUUGGACUUUUAAUAUAGAUCUUAUAGUUUGUUCAAGUUAUGCCUGCGUGGGCUCUUUGAUGUAUAUACUGAAUAAUCUUCCUUUCUGUUAUUUCUUGGUUGAAACAUUGCAGAAUAGAGUUGUGGCAGAUAUUUUCAAGUAGCACAUAUUUGGUGCAGACACAGAGAGAUGGAUAUUACAAUCAUAGAACUAUGAUUAUGAAAUAAGUAUAAUAAAAUGAAAAAGUACUUGAGGUUACUUCUUGUAACCUACUCAAAUAUGAAAUUUGUUUUUUGAGAACUACUCAUAUAUGAAUUUUAUUGCUCAGUUGUGCCACAAUUUAGGUAAAGGGACAUGUUAGUAUUUUACUGGUGUACAAAUUCUAUAGAAAUUAAUAUUGUUUACAGUAUAUUUAAAUUUUUCCAGUCUGCGAGUACAUGAUGAUUCAAAUUGUUACUUUUCAUAUUUGGGACUCGUGAUUCUUCCUCAUAUAUGGGACUAGGAAAAUAAAAUACAUGUCGACAAAUAUUUGACGAAGUUGGAUUGCAACCAACCUUGUGUCUACUCUACUUUUGGAGUUUUGGAGCUUUUAGUACGUUUGGAGCAUUUGGAAGUGCAAACGCACUUGAAAAUUUUGUUAAAUACAAGAAUAUGCUGACGUGAAGAAGGCUUGCUAGAUCAUACUAUGUGAUUACAUUACGGGGGAGCUAACACACAAUUAGAUUUGCAUUACGUGGAGUGAAGUGGAAUGGUAAACGAUGUAAAAUCAACUUAAGGAUAUGCGAGUGAAGUCUGUUUGGAACAUGUUAUAAAUGAAUCUUUUAAGAAUAAAGCUAUCAACCCCCCGCCCCCCCCUA
rnacentral:lncRNA from 1 species